ACCCGACUGGAGGAGUGAGAGAGCAAGAAAGAACGAAACAGGCGAGUCGCUCGCUCGAAGCAUUGUAACCGAGGUAAAACGCCUGUUUCAGCCCAUUGCUGGUGAUUGAGCCGGCGCCUCGCUCCACCCCGUCGAUCCCCUGCUCCCUUCCUCCUGCGCUCCAAUCUCUCUUCUCGCGCACGCUACCUUCUCCCCCGCGCCAAAUCAUCCUGUUGCGCGCCAAAUUGAAAGGAUUAUCCACGGUCCUCCCCCCCAAAAUCCACCCAGUUCAUCUCCAAUCCCCCACAUCUAAACCCUAGACCUGCACCGGCGACUCUCUUCUCUGCUAGAUGAAUCAGCAGUUCAAGAGGACCUCCGCGCCGGCGCCUAUGGUGACUGCUAUGCUAUGGUGAAUGCUGCUGGAUUGCUGGUGCUAUUUAGAGUGACUGAAGAUUGUUGGUGCAAUGGAUUGGCUCUAUGCCUUUCGUCGUCUGGAUCAAUAACAAAUGGCAUGUUUGGUGGAAGCUUAUUUAGUACUACUUUUGAUGUAUGCAUUUUUAGAAAGACUUCUGCAAUGUUUAAGCACCGGUGUCAUGGUGCUAUUUGUCAUCAGUUAUUUGUACCUAGGUGGAAUGUAAGCACUGGUGUCACGGUGCUAUUUGUCAUCUGUUAUUUGUACCUAGGUGGAAUGUUUAAGCACUGGUGUCAUGGUGCUAUUUGUCAUCAGUUAUUUGUUCUAAGUAUUAUGUUAAUUUGUUAUUCA